ACUUCGCGUAAAUAAAUCCGAAUUGCCCCACUGGCAAAAGGGUUUUUCUCAGGUAAUCCUCCAUUUUCUUCAUAAGCAGCUCUGAGGCGACCGAUUAGGGCAUCAAGGCUGCCCCAAGCUUGUUUCAAUGGACAAGUACAAGGACCAGGUGGUUCAGGUUGCCCAAAAUAGACACAGCCUUGUAGGUGCACCUUAGUCUUUCCGAACUGAUCAAGAUAUCGAAGAAAAUCGAGUACUUGGUUGGAGUUGCACUGGGCGAGGGCAACUGGGGGUCUUUGAUUCUUCAAGAACUGUCCAAAGGUGUUCCAGUCUCGCCGCUUCUGCGACUCGUACCGACUCAGUGGUGGCGGUUGCUGCUGCUGAUCUUCAGCAGAGGAUCGAGUCGACGACCCUUCUCCUGUGUCCUUU
rnacentral:lncRNA from 1 species